UGGUGGUUCAGUGAUAGAAUUCUCGUGUUUCAUGUGGGAGACCCAGGUUCAAUUCCUGGCUA
rnacentral:tRNA from 1 species